rnacentral:lncRNA from 1 species
UCCAGGAACCCACCUUGUUCUUCCACUUCUUCGCGUUCUUGAGCACGAUUGGAGGAGGUGGCUGUGCCGCCAUCGCUGGUGGAGGAGAAGGACGAGGAUUUCUUGGACGAGAAGAUGGAUGAGGUCUUGGACGAGAAGAUGGAUGAGGCCGCCUCCUGAUCGCUGCUGCUGGAUGGGCUUUGCUUCUUCUCGCCACGAUCAUCAUCGUCCUUGCAGUCGCCAUGACGAAGAAGAAGAUCUUCUUCCAAAUCGCUAGCGCUGCUG